UACGAAGGGGGCUAGCGUUGCUCGGAAUCACUGGGCGUAAAGGGUGCGUAGGCGGGUCUUUAAGUCAGGGGUGAAAUCCUGGAGCUCAACUCCAGAACUGCCUUUGAUACUGAAGAUCUUGAGUUCGGGAGAGGUGAGUGGAAUUCCCAGUGUAGAGGUGAAAUUCGUAGAUAUUGGGAAGAACACCGGUGGCGAAGGCGGCUCUCUGGACCGACACUGACGCUGAGGCGCGAAAGCGUGGGGAGCAAACAGGG
rnacentral:rRNA from 1 species